CUGACACCCUCAGUCAUAGAGCAGCUUUUUGCAUGUGAUUGGGGAAUAGAGAGUCUUGCUUGGAUUUCCAGCCACAUGGAUGUUAAAGAAGAAGAAAAAAAAUGGAAGUAACCUUCCACCUAUUUCAUAGCAUGCUCUGAAAAGCAAGCACCAUCCCAAUGGAGACUAGAGGUUUACCAGUAAAAGGUAAUCAGGGCAAGUCCCAAGAUCUUUAAAGAUCCCGAGCACUUUUAAGAAAGAAUCAAGUAUGUGAUUCAACGUCUCUGGCAGAACACCAGACACGUAAAUGCCCUCUGCCCCCCGCUUACCCAGAGCCAUCGGCAGGAUAAAAGACUGAGCUAUCUCGAAGUGCCGCAAUACAAGAUGUAACAGCUUCCUACCAACUUGGAAAUGAUGCAUUUUGAUGGGGACCUCUAAAGAACAUACAUGAGGGUCUCUUCAGUCAGAGGCAUUUUGCUGCCACCUUUCAGAGGUCACAAGAUCCAGUAUCCAGCAGGGAUGUAAGCAGACUGGCUGCAACAACAUUUUGAACCAGAUGCAACUUCAGUGAAACUUUUAUCAUUCCCUAAGAAUAUCAGAAGAUCUUCUUCAGCCUCUACAAGACCACAGUGUUUCCAGUAAGUGAAAACUUAAUUUUGACUAAGAAUAUUCUGGGUACCAUAAGAGGAUCUUCAAGCAACGCACAACCCAGGAAAGGAUGUGGAAUUACCAAGAGAGGAUAAUGGCUCUGUCCUCUUCAGCAAACAGCGUUGAGAUCUGCUGAUGAAAAGCACUAGAUAAGAGUGAGGUACUAUCUAUGCCAACAGUCAAAUCAGACAGCAUCAUGUAGAAUCUGUUUACUUUUAUAGUGAAAUAUAUUAGACUGUCAAAAGGACACUUCAUCAUCUAUAAUAAAUAUUCAUCUACAUGUAUCAUGUACUUGAGCUGCAUGAAUGAUGAGAUUAGAGUACAGAAAUGAAUGAGAAACUCAUAAGAUAAAU
rnacentral:lncRNA from 1 species